GGGCGCGCAGGGAAGUGGAGUUCCCGCCUCACUGUCGAUGAGGAGACCGCGGGUUCGAGUCCCGCCGCGCCCGCCA
rnacentral:tRNA from 1 species